AUGGCCGAUCUCCACCUCCUCCACCCGCCGGAGCCCGACACCAACGGCGGCGCGGCCGCCGCCUCCGCCUCCGCCGCCGCGCUGCUCCUCCCCGGCGACCCCGCGGCCGAGGCGGCGGCCGCCGCCGCCGCGGACCCCCCCGCGCCCCCCUACUCCAAGCGCCGCCGCCGCCCCAGCGUCCGCCUCGGCGACAUUGGCGCGCAGGCCACGGCCUCCGACGCGCAGCUCCCGCGCCGCCACCGCAAGCCGUCCUCCCACCCGCGCCCGCCGCGCCGCUCCCACCCGGACGACGCCCUCGACCCCAGCGCCCGCGCCCGCGGGCCCAAGCCCGGCCAGCGCCGCCCGCGCACGGCCUGGAUCCCGGCGCCCCACGGCGGCGCCGACGGCUACGAGGACGAGGAGGGCCACCACCACUACUACGACGACGCCGACCAGUCCGACUCCGCCGCCGCCGCCGCCCGGGCCGCUAGGGUUUCGGGCAGCCGCGAGGCCAGCGUCGACGAGUCCGACGGCGUCGCCGACUGGGGCCUCCCCAACGGCGGCGCGGCCUGCUACGGCGGCGGCGGCGGCGUCCGGGCCUGGCUCGACGGGCUCGGCCUCUCCCGGUACGCCCCCGUGUUCGAGAUCCACGAGGUGGACGACGAGGUGCUCCCGCUGCUCACCCUGGAGGACCUCAAGGACAUGGGCAUCGGCGCCGUCGGCUCCAGGAGGAAGAUGUUCGCCGCCAUCCAGAAGCUCCGCAGCAGCGACACCGUGUCCUGA
rnacentral:rRNA from 1 species